rnacentral:rRNA from 1 species
AUUGAACGCUGGCGGCAUGCCUUACACAUGCAAGUCGAACGGUAACGCGGGGCAACCUGGCGACGAGUGGCGAACGGGUGAGUAAUGCAUCGGAACGUACCCAGUAGUGGGGGAUAGCUCGGCGAAAGCCGGAUUAAUACCGCAUACGACCCAUGGGUGAAAGCGGGGGAUCGCAAGACCUCGCGCUGGUGGAGCGGCCGAUGUCAGAUUAGGUUGUUGGUGAGGUAAAGGCUCACCAAGCCGACGAUCUGUAGCUGGUCUGAGAGGACGACCAGCCACACUGGGACUGAGACACGGCCCAGACUCCUACGGGAGGCAGCAGUGGGGAAUUUUGGACAAUGGGGGCAACCCUGAUCCAGCCAUGCCGCGUGCGGGAAGAAGGCCU